GAUGAACGCUAGCUACAGGCUUAACACAUGCAAGUCGAGGGGAAACGACAUCGAAAGCUUGCUUUUGAUGGGCGUCGACCGGCGCACGGGUGAGUAACGCGUAUCCAACCUGCCCAUCACUUGGGAAUAACCUUGCGAAAGUAAGACUAAUACCCAAUGACAUCCCACGAAGACAUCUGAAUGGGAUUAAAGAUUUAUCGGUGAUGGAUGGGGAUGCGUCUGAUUAGCUUGUUGGCGGGGUAACGGCCCACCAAGGCAACGAUCAGUAGGGGUUCUGAGAGGAAGGGCCCCCACAUGGGAACUGAGACACGGUCCAAACACCUACGGGGGGCAGCAGUGAGGAAGAUUGGUCAAUGGGCGAGAGCCUGAACCAGCCAAGUAGCGUGCAGGAUGACGGCCCUAUGGGUUGUAAACUGCUUUUAGAAGGGAAUAAAGUGGGUCUCGGGAGACUUUUUGCAGGUACCUUAUGAAUAAGGACCGGCUAAUUCCGUG
rnacentral:rRNA from 1 species